rnacentral:misc_RNA from 1 species
UCCGGUUUGGCACCGGCAGUCGCCCUAGAGUGCCCGGCUUUACCCGCCGGUAACUAGGGCCGAGGGUUGCGCUCGUUGCGGGACUUAACCCAACAUCUCACGACACGAGCUGACGACAGCCAUGCAGCGCCUGUGCAGGGAUCCCGAAGGAGGCCCCGUGUUUCCACGGAGUUUCCCCUGCAUGUCAAGCCAGGUAAGGUUCUUCGCGUUGCGUCGAAUUAAACCACAUGCUCCACCGCUUGUGCGGGCCCCCGUCAAUUCCUUUGAGUUUCAGCCUUGCGGCCGUACUCCCCAGGCGGGGCACUUAAUGCGUUAGCGCCGGCACUCGGAGGGUCGCUCCCCCAAGCACCUAGUGCCCAUCGUUUACGGCGUGGACUAC